GGAAGGGGUGUAUUUAUUAGAUAAAAAACCAACGCCCUUCGGGGCUUCUUGGUGAUUCAUGAUAACUUCACGGAUCGCAUGGCCUUGCGCCGGCGACGGUUCAUUCAAAUUUCUGCCCUAUCAACUUUCGAUGGUAAGGUAUUGGCUUACCAUGGUUUCAACGGGUAACGGGGAAUUAGGGUUCGAUUCCGGAGAGGGAGCCUGAGAAACGGCUACCACAUCCAAGGAAGGCAGCAGGCGCGCAAAUUACCCAAUCCCGACACGGGGAGGUAGUGACAAUAAAUACUGAUACAGGGCUCUUUUGGGUCUUGUAAUUGGAAUGAGUACAAUUUAAACCUCUUAACGAGGAACAAUUGGAGGGCAAGUCUGGUGCCAGCAGCCGCGGUAAUUCCAGCUCCAAUAGCGUAUAUUAAAGUUGUUGCAGUUAAAAAGCUCGUAGUUGAAACUUGGGCCUGGCUGGCAGGUCCGCCUCACCGCGUGUACUUGUCCGGCCGGGCCUUUCCUUCUGGAGAACCUCAUGCCCUUCACUGGGUGUGUUGGGGAACCAGGACUUUUAC
rnacentral:rRNA from 1 species